rnacentral:rRNA from 1 species
AGAGUUUGAUCCUGGCUCAGGAUGAACGCUAGCGGCAGGCUUAACACAUGCAAGUCGAGGGGUAACAGGGAUUAGUUUACUAAUUUGCUGACGACCGGCGCACGGGUGAGUAACGCGUAUACAAUUUACCUCUUACAGGAGAAUAGCCCAGAGAAAUUUGGAUUAAUGCUCCAUGGUAUUAUAGGAUCACAUGGUUUUAUAAUUAAAGUUCCGACGGUAAGAGAUGAGUAUGCGUCCUAUUAGCUAGAUGGUAAGGUAACGGCUUACCAUGGCGACGAUAGGUAGGGGUCCUGAGAGGGAGAUCCCCCACACUGGUACUGAGACACGGACCAGACUCCUACGGGAGGCAGCAGUGAGGAAUAUUGGGCAAUGGAGGCAACUCUGACCCAGCCAUGCCGCGUGCAGGAAGACGGCCCUAUGGGUUGUAAACUGCUUUUAUAUAGGAAGAAACUUAUCCACGUGUGGAUAACUGACGGUACUAUAAGAAUAAGCACCGGCUAACUCCGUGCCAGCAGCCGCGGUAAUACGGAGGAUGCAAGCGUUAUCCGGAUUUAUUAGGUUUAAAGGGUGCGUAGGCGGAAAUGUAAGUCAGGGGUGAAAUCCCACAGCUUAACUGUGGAACUGCCUUUGAAACUACCUUUCUUGAGUUAAGUUGAGGCAGGCGGAAUGUGUAAUGUAGCGGUGAAAUGCAUAGAUAUUACACAGAACACCGAUUGCGAAGGCAGCUUGCUAAACUUUAACUGACGCUGAUUCACGAAAGCGUGGGGAGCGAACAGGAUUAGAUACCCUGGUAGUCCACGCCGUAAACGAUGCUUACUGGUUGUUGGCAAUACAUAGUCAGCGACUGAGGGAAACCAUUAAGUAAGCCACCUGGGGAGUACGUUCGCAAGAAUGAAACUCAAAGGAAUUGACGGGGGCCCGCACAAGCGGUGGAACAUGUGGUUUAAUUCGAUGAUACGCGAGGAACCUUACCUGGGCUUAAAUGCAGGAUGACCGUUCGGGAAACCGGACUUUUCUUCGGAACAUCCUACAAGGUGCUGCAUGGUUGUCGUCAGCUCGUGCCGUGAGGUGUCGGGUUAAGUCCCAUAACGAGCGCAACCCCUAUUCUUAGUUGCCAUCAGAUAAUGCUGGGGACUCUAAGGAAACUGCCUACGCAAGUAGCGAGGAAGGUGGGGAUGACGUCAAAUCAGCACGGCCCUUAUGUCCAGGGCUACACACGUGCUACAAUGGUCGGUACAGAGGGCUGCUACCUGGUGACAGGAUGCUAAUCUCAAAAACCGAUCUCAGUUCGGAUCGAAGUCUGCAACUCGACUUCGUGAAGCUGGAAUCGCUAGUAAUCGCGCAUCAGCCAUGGCGCGGUGAAUACGUUCCCGGGCCUUGUACACACCGCCCGUCAAGCCAUGGAAGUUUGGGGUACCUGAAGUCUGUAACCGCAAGGAGCGGCCUAGGGUAAAACUAGUAACUGGGGCUAAGUCGUAACAAGGUAGCC